AGUGAACGCUGGCGGCAGGCCUAACACAUGCAAGUCGAGCGGCAGCGGGUCCCCGCGAGGGGAUGCCGGCGAGCGGCGGACGGGUGAGGAACACAUCGGAAUCUGCCUGGUUGUGGGGGAUAACGUAGGGAAACUUACGCUAAUACCGCAUGCGACCCUGAGUCGACGGACUUGGGGUGAAAGUGAGGGACCUUCGGCCGUCACGCGACCAGAUGAGCCGAUGUCGGAUUAGCUAGUUGGCGGGGUAACGGCCCGCCAAGGCGACGAUCCGUAGCUGGUCUGAGAGGAUGAUCAGCCACACUGGGACUGAGACACGGCCCAGACUCCUAC
rnacentral:rRNA from 1 species